rnacentral:rRNA from 1 species
ACGAACGCUGGCGGCGUGCUUAACCCAUGCAAGUCGAACGGAAAGGCCCUGCUUUUGUGGGGUGCUCGAGUGGCGAACGGGUGAGUAACACGUGAGUAACCUGCCCUUGACUUUGGGAUAACUUCAGGAAACUGGGGCUAAUACCGGAUAGGAGCUCCUGCUGCAUGGUGGGGGUUGGAAAGUUUCGGCGGUUGGGGAUGGACUCGCGGCUUAUCAGCUUGUUGGUGGGGUAGUGGCUUACCAAGGCUUUGACGGGUAGCCGGCCUGAGAGGGUGACCGGCCACAUUGGGACUGAGAUACGGCCCAGACUCCUACGGGAGGCAGCAGUGGGGAAUAUUGCACAAUGGGCGAAAGCCUGAUGCAGCAACGCCGCGUGCGGGAUGACGGCCUUCGGGUUGUAAACCGCUUUCGCCUGUGACGAAGCGUGAGUGACGGUAAUGGGUAAAGAAGCACCGGCUAACUACGUG